rnacentral:rRNA from 1 species
CGGACGGGUGAGUAAUGUCUGGGAAACUGCCCGAUGGAGGGGGGUAACUACUGGAAACGGUAGCUAAUACCGCAUAAUGUCUGCGGACCAAAGCGGGGGACCUCCGGGCCUCGCGCCAUCAGAUGAACCCAUAUGGGAUUAGCUAGUAGGUGAGGUAACGGCUUACCUAGGCGACGAUCCCUAGCUGGUCUGAGAGGAUGAUCAGCCACACUGGAACUGAGACACGGUCCAG